GGCAGAAUGGCUUAGUGGAUAGAGCACUGGAUUGGGACUCAGGUGCCAUGGGUUCUAUUUCCAGCAUUGCCA
rnacentral:tRNA from 1 species